rnacentral:rRNA from 1 species
GACGAACGCUGGCGGCGUGCUUAACACAUGCAAGUCGAGCGAUGAAGCUCCUUCGGGAGUGGAUUAGCGGCGGACGGGUGAGUAACACGUGGGUAACCUGCCUCAUAGAGGGGAAUAACCUUUCGAAAGGAAGAUUAAUACCGCAUAAGAUUGUAGCUUCGCAUGAAGCAGCAAUUAAAGGAGUAAUCCGCUAUGAGAUGGACCCGCGUCGCAUUAGCUAGUUGGUGAGGUAACGGCUCACCAAGGCGACGAUGCGUAGCCGACCUGGGAGGGUGAUCGGCCACAUUGGGACUGAGACACGGCCCAGACUCCUACGGGAGGCAGCAGUGGGGAAUAUUGCACAAUGGGGGAAACCCUGAUGCAGCAACGCCGCGUGAGUGAUGACGGUCUUCGGAUUGUAAAACUCUGUCUUCAGGGACGAUAUGACGGUACCUGAGGAGGAAGCCACGGCUAACUACGUGCCAGCCGCCGCAGUAA